UGGUGGAGUGAUUUGUCUGGUUAAUUCCGAUAACGAACGAGACCUUAACCUGCUAAAUAGUCAGGCUGUCUUUGGAUAGUCGCCGACUUCUUAGAGGGACUGUCAGUGUCUAACUGACGGAAGUUUGAGGCAAUAACA
rnacentral:rRNA from 1 species